GAGAAAAAAAAAAGAAAUUCCGUCACAAUUUUUUUUAUUUAUUAACAUAUUUAUCCGAGGAAAAAACAACAGAUCCGGAAAAAGAAAAACAUAUACGAGAGAGCAAAUUCAGAGAAAGACCUUGGAACAAACCCUAGAAACAAAUCAUUAAUGGCUGCAAAAUCAUGAUGAUACAAAGCAGAAAAAAAACAGCUUGCUAGGAGUGAUUUUAUUCUUUUGCGUUAGUCGUUGAUACUGUAAAAAAAAAAAUAUGACAAACCUAAAUCCCCAUAACCCUAAAUGCAGCUCCUCUGAUCUCCACCACCAACGGAUAUUUAUCAUCCUAAUCUCCUUAUCUAUAUCCGCAUCAUGUAUUUAUCCUAAACGAAAUCCAUGGAGGAGUUUGCUGUUCAUUGGUCUUAUUCUGUAUAACAAAAACUAAACACCAGAGAAAAGAAAUCUCUGUUCUUCCCUCAGGCACAAGGAGCACAGGUGCCGCCGUGCCGGUGAUAUUGGUGUUAUGCUUGAAAUAUGAUUCUUUGAUAGUUUAUAUUGGAUUAUCCAUAUAGUUUUGUACUUGAAAACACUUGCGGGCAGGGAAUCCCCAAAAAUAAGCUCUUACUGAUAGGUUAGGGUUGGUAUUCUCUGAUGGUUGUAAAGACGAAGAAGCAAAACAAGGAGCACCAAGAGAUGCUACUUUCUGAGCCUAAGAAGAAAUACUACUUCUUCACAAAAACCCUUUUACAAAGAAGUUGGCACUAAGGUGAGAUAGCCAGCGUUUAGUCAACUGUGUUCUAUCGACCAUGCAUCAUUGCAGCUUCAUCAUAGCCUUGCUAUUACAACAGCUGCGAUGUAACAUAACUACAUUUAGUAAGUACGUCUUUGUUUAAUUUUGUUGCCCUUGGGGCCUUUAUGAUUGCACAAAUACAUACUAACCCAAUUCAUUUAUGAUUUUCACGAGAAACUUCACAUUGCCUCACCAAAUAAGCCUUUUCCAUGAACCUGGAAGACAAACUAUUUCCCUUGGAUGGAAGUCUCUUAGAUACCUAAAAGUGAUGACGAAAAGCAUUACAACCUCAAAAGAGUAGAUGUUGGCUGGAAAAUGAGACUGUUUAAUAAAAAACAUGGAUUACUUCCACAGAUAACUUGGGUGCGCAGUGAAGAACUACACGAGACAGUGGGGAACAGAUUGGUUUAUGCUGGAAUUGAGGUUUCUGCCUUUGAAGCCAAGUAUGAGCAAGAUUGUUGCCUUAAAGAACUUGGCUUCACAAUGUAUUACAAUGCGAGACACACCAGAUAAAGAACGUAGUGGUUUCUACUGAAAUUUAGGUUUCGGACUUUAAAGACAAGGCUAAACAGCAUGACACAUGAAUGUAAAGUUGUAGGCUGACGUUGGAAACAAUUCCAGUUGGAAAGAGCCUUCUCCAGCAAUGGUUUUCAUCAUCACUUAGUACCACUAUUGCAACCAUAAAUUAGUUGUUUUUUUGUUGCUAAGAGAUUAAGAUUCAAUCUUCACUCCUGAUUGACCGUGUUGGUAGUCUACUUUAUAUUUUAGUUGAUUUUGAUGGACUACAUUGUGAAAAUUUAUUACAUAUUUAUGUGACUUUGUAAAAUACAUUUACUCUUUUGU